rnacentral:rRNA from 1 species
AAACUAAACAUAGCUCAAAAUCUACCAUAUACUAUUACUUUAACAAUAUUAAAACAAAACAUUUACAAUAAUAAAAGUAUAGGCGAUAGAAAUUCUAUAUGAAGCUAUAGAGAAAGUACCGUAAGGGAAAAAUGAAAGAAAGUUAUAAGUACAACACAGCAAAGCUUAACCCUUGUACCUUUUGCAUAAUGAUUUAACUAGAAAGCAUUAGCAAAAAGAAUUUAAGUUAAACACCCCGAAACUAGACGAGCUACCUACUAGCAGCUUAAAGAGCAAACUCAUCUAUGUAGCAAAAUAGUGAAAAGACUAUUAGGUAGUGGCGACAAACCUAUCGAGCCUAGUGAUAGCUGGUUGUCCAGGAAAGAAUUUUAGUUCUAAUUUAAACUUGCCUAUAAAAAAACAAAUUUAAAUGUAAGCUUAAAUAAUAGUCUAAAAGGGUACAGCCUUUCAGACACAGGAUACAACCUAUGUUAGUGAAAAAACUAAAAUAUUUAAACCACCUCAGUUGGCCUAAAAGCAGCCACCAAACAAGAUAGCGUUCAAGCUCGACCACAUAAACAUAAACCAAUAUCAAUUAUAAAAAUGAAAUUCCUAACACAAAACUGGACCAUUCUAUUUAAAAAUAGAAGUAAUAAUGUUAAUAUGAGUAACAAGAAAACCUUUCUCCCUGCAUAGGUGUAUAUCAGAACGAAUACGCACUGAUAAUUAACAAAUAUGAGUAUAAUUAAUUAACUAACACUCUGAUACAAUUGUUAAUCCAACACAGGCAUGCAAUCAAGGACAGAUUAAAAGAAGUAAAAGGAACUCGGCAAACAUGAACUCCGCCUGUUUACCAAAAACAUCACCUCUAGCAUAAAAAGUAUUAGAGGCACUGCCUGCCCAGUGACUUUAGUUUAACGGCCGCGGUAUCCUGACCGUGCAAAGGUAGCAUAAUCACUUGUUCUCUAACUAAGGACUUGUAUGAAUGGCUUCACGAGAGUUCUACUGUCUCUUACUUCCAAUCAGUGAAAUUGAUCUUCCCGUGAAGAAGCGGGAAUAAAAAAAUAAGACGAGAAGACCCUAUGGAGCUUUAAUUAAUCAACUCAUAAACUGCAACAACACUCUACAAGAAAUAAACCUAUUUUAACUGAGUUGGCAAUUUAGGUUGGGGUGACCUCGGAAUAUAAAUUAACUCCCGAGAAAAUUUAAUUAAGACAGACAAGUCAAAAUUAUCAUAUUACAUAUUGAUCCGUCAAAGACGAUCAACGAAACAAGUUACCCUAGGGAUAACAGCGCAAUCCUAUUCAAGAGUCCAUAUCGACAAUUAGGGUUUACGACCUCGAUGUUGGAUCAGGACAUCCAAAUGGUGCAGCCGCUAUUAAUGUGUUCGUUUGUUCAACGAUUAAAGUCCUACGUGAUCUGAGUUCAGACCGGAGCAAUCCAGGUCGGUUUCUAUCUAUUUCAAAGUCUCUCCCAGUACGAAAGGACAAGAGAGACAGGGCCCACUUAAAAUAAGUGCCCCAGCUAAUUAGAUGAAAUAAUCUCAAUCUUACAUAAAUACUAAUUUUAGCCCAAGAACAGGGCUUA